UUAAGCAUGACAUUAAAUGGAUUGAUUGAUUCACUUCAGAGCAAUUUAAAGAAGUCAAGAAGUACCGACAAGUUCAUCAGUGGAUUGGGGAGUUUCUUUUGGCUGACAAUGGCUCCGGUCUUGAAGAUUUCUGACUCCCAGAGCAAGAUAAAAAAGAUCAUCCUGAGACACUGACCACCAGGGGUGCAACAUUGCUUCAAACUCCUACACAUUUUCUGGGUUAUCACUGAAUACCAGAUCGACAUGAGCAAGGCAUCCUUCGUCAAGAUAGAGCUAUACAAUACAUAAAAUUUAUCAUUCUGAUUCUAAA